UGCGUCCAGUGUGGCACUAUAACGUGGUGU
rnacentral:piRNA from 1 species